rnacentral:misc_RNA from 1 species
GAUGAAGAACGUAGCGAAAUGCGAUAAGUAAUGUGAAUCGCAGAAUUCAGUGAAUCAUCGAAUCUUUGAACGCACCUUGCACCCUUUGGCAUUCUGAAGGGUAUGCUCGUUUGAGUGUCAUUGUACUCUCACACUCCCGAUCUUUGCAUUGGGAGCAGUGGACUUGGGUUUGCUGCUUCACCGUCGCUUACCUCAAAUAGGUUAGUGCAACUCUUGGUUGGACAUAGUACGGCGUGAUAAGUGUUCUUCGCCGGUGCCUCGCAAAGAGGGUGGCCGAUCGGGAUGUUUGUGCUCCAAACCGUCUUCGGACAAUCUCUGACGACUUGACCUCAAAUCGAGUAAGACUACCCGCUGAACUUAAGCAUAUCAAUAAGCGGAGGA